rnacentral:rRNA from 1 species
AGUAACGCGUGGGUAACCUGCCUUGUACAGGGGGAUAACAGUUGGAAACGGCUGCUAAUACCGCAUAAGCGCACGGCAUCGCAUGAUGCAGUGUGAAGAACUCCGGUGGUAUAAGAUGGACCCGCGUUGGAUUAGCUAGUUGGUGAGGUAACGGCCCACCAAGGCGACGAUCCAUAGCCGACCUGAGAGGGUGACCGGCCACAUUGGGACUGAGACACGGCCCAA